rnacentral:rRNA from 1 species
UACGUAGGGACCAAGCGUUGUUCGGAUUUACUGGGCGUAAAGGGCGCGUAGGCGGCGCGGUAAGUCACUUGUGAAAUCUCUGAGCUUAACUCAGAACGGCCAAGUGAUACUGCAGUGCUAGAGUGUGGAAGGGGCAAUCGGAAUUCUUGGUGUAGCGGUGAAAUGCGUAGAUAUCAAGAGGAACACCUGAGGUGAAGACAGGUUGCUGGGCCAACACUGACGCUGAGGCGCGAAAGCCAGGGGAGCAAACGGG